rnacentral:rRNA from 1 species
GACGAACGCUAGCGGCGUGCUUAACACAUGCAAGUCGAACGCUGACGCGCAGCUUAUGUCGGGUGGACGAGUGGCGAACGGGUGAGUAACACGUGAGUAACCUGCCUGCUACUUUGGGAUAACGCGCGGAAACGGGUGCUAAUACUGGAUAUUAACUGGGUCUCGCAUGGGGGUUGGUGGAAAGGGUUUUUCUGGUGGGGGAUGGGCUCGAGGCCUAUCAGCUUGUUGGUGGGGAGACGGCCUACAAAGGUUUUGAGGGGUGGCUCGCCGGAGAGGGUGACCCGUCAUAUUGGGACGGAGAUGCGGCCAAGACUCCGACGGGAGGCAGUGGUGGGGAAUAGUGAACGAGGGGGGCAAGGCUGAUGCAGCGUCGCCGCGUGAGUGAUGGAGGUCUUCGUUUUGUGAUUCUCUUUCGCUCAUGGUCAAGGCGCUACAAUUGUUUUAGUGAGGGUAGUUGGUAAAUAAGCGCCGGCUAACUACGUG